GAACGCUGGCGGCGUGCCUAAUACAUGCAAGUAGAACGCUGAAGGAGGAGCUUGCUUCUCUGGAUGAGUUGCGAACGGGUGAGUAACGCGUAGGUAACCUGCCUGGUAGCGGGGGAUAACUAUUGGAAACGAUAGCUAAUACCGCAUAAGAGUAGAUGUUGCAUGACAUUUGCUUAAAAGGUGCAAUUGCAUCACUACCAGAUGGACCUGCGUUGUAUUAGCUAGUUGGUGAGGUAACGGCUCACCAAGGCAACGAUACAUAGCCGACCUGAGAGGGUGAUCGGCCACACUGGGACUGAGACACGGCCCAGACUCCUACGGGAGGCAGCAGUAGGGAAUCUUCGGCAAGGGACGGAAGUCUGACCGAGCAACGCCGCGUGAGUGAAGAAGGUUUUCGGAUCGGAAAGCUCUGUUGUAAGAGAAGAACGAGUGUGAGAGUGGAAAGUUCACACUGUGACGGUAUCUUACCAGAAAGGGACGGCUAACUACGUG
rnacentral:rRNA from 1 species